CACACACACACACACACACACACACACAUGCACGCACAAAGCCUUCUUACCUAAAAACAGCAGACAAGCUGGAGUAGAAAACAGGAGAACAAGCACAAUGACCUGGGUUGGGGCAACUAAGCCUGAAUCCCUCUUUGGAGGAACUAUGACUUUCUAUCAGGAACAGCCUUCAUGAGGAUUUGAUGAGAAAUAGUAUGAAUGUGAAUGUUUCAUCGAGUUUUUCUUCCUUCUAUCAAGUAUAACCAGCCUCACUAGAGCUUUCUCAGCCUUGCUACAAAGCACCCAGUUACCUCGAGAGUUUCCCAAGUGAAAGCCUCGGCCAGUCUGCCCUGCAUGCCACUGCCUCAUUCAUCUUAUCGCUCUAGAACCUUCCUUAGCUGUAGGGCUCUCCAUGUUCUCUACGCUGAAUUAAUUCACAGCACUCUUACAGUCCUGUUUACAUGUUAUCUGAUUCCCCAAGCAGACUGUGAACAACUCCAGAGCGCAUCAACCCUCUCUUACUUAUCUUUGAAUCUCUAGCAUCUAGUUAGCAGAGUAACUAGCAGAGAAGAGAUGAUUAAAUAAAGGUUUGUCAAAUGAA